AAAAUAAUGAGCAGAAUUUCGUCGUGCCGGUCGCAAAGUGAAAAGCAAUUGAUUUUGUCGCAACACAAUUCAUUUUCUCGGCGGCGAUGUGAUUUUCGAUGCAAAAAGAUGCUCAUUAUUUUCCCGACAUACUGAUAAAUUGUCGUCUUUCACUUACUAAGCGGGCCAAAAAAACCUUUUUUUUGCAUGGUGCUGCGCAAAAUCACAAAGCGGCUUUGCGACAAACGCUCCAAGUGGGCCAUUUUUGGUAAGCAGAACUGGCGAUGUGGGAUGAACCAAACGCGGAGUUACGGUGCCUAACUAUUCGCUCAUGAGACCCCAUGAAAGGGUGUUGGUUGAUAUAGACAGCAGGACGGUGGCCAUGGAAGUCGGAAUCCGCUAAGGAGUGUGUAACAACUCACCUGCCGAAUCAACUAGCCCUGAAAAUGGAUGGCGCUCGAGCGAAUGACCUAUACUCUGCCGUCGUUGAGCCCG
rnacentral:ncRNA from 1 species